UCUUCGGUCUUCAUCAUCGCUCGCCAAUCUACCCCUCCGCAACUUCAUUUCUCUCUCCCUCUCGUUGUUGCUUCAGCCCGAGAGCUCACUGACCGGCCCACAACAAACGAAGCAGCUUCACGUGUGACGUCCCUUGCGGUUGCCUCGUCCAGUGCGCGUCCACGAAGUCCACCGAAGCCACCGAAGGAGCUGCCCUCGUCCGUUUCCUCUCAACGCGCGUCUCUCUUGGCCCAAGCGAAGCUGCUCCUCCAUCAAGUGUCUUCUGCCAGGCGUCCUCUUCAGUCAACAACCAGAAGCACUGAAGCCUCUUUGUUGACCGAACAACACGUGAAUCUCUCCACCAGCUCAACGCCAGCAAGACCAAAGCCCAUCGUCUUCAUCCAAGUCUCCACGCGUCCCCUGCUGGUCAAACGAAGCUGCCCCUUCUCCCGAUUGUUGACCACCGAAGCUCACGCGGCUUCAAUCCACCGAAUCCCCAUCGCCAGCUCACGUCCAAGUCUUCGGUCAAUAGAAAAUGCCCGCAAGAGCCUGUGUUGACUCCAUCGAUGAGAGUUCUUCAAGCUACGGCUGUCCGCUCCAUCUCUCGGCAACGACGCCAGUUGCAUCUCCACGGACGUCUUCGCCAGCAGCUGCUUCCGUCCAUGCGUCAUCAGCUCGCGUGUCUUCGACCAGUUGAAUCCUCGAAGCCCAGCAGCAAAUCCAGCAACUUUCGUGGACCAUCUGCCAACGAAGCUGAAGCCCGGCAAGCCCACGUGAAUCUUUCUUGUUUAGCCCAGCGAAGCCAGAAAUUUCGUGGCCCAACAGCUGGGCCUGUCUUCAGUCCUUUGGGCCACCGAAUUCAACUCAAGACCAGCAAGCCCAGUUCAGCUUUGUUUCAAGCCCAGUCCAGCAGAUUCUUUUGUUGUUUGGCCCAAGCCCAAGAGCAAGUUCAACCCAAAGUCAAGAACAAAUCUCAGUUGGGCUAAGAUUUGUUGGGCCCAAGUUUAAGGCCCGGUCCAAGCCCGCCGGUGUCGUCGAAAGCCCGAUUUCGGCCACCAUCGCGUUGUUGUUGCGGUGUCCCGGUCCCCGCUUUUAAUCAAGCCUGUAGAUGAGCCUGUGAAGAAGGAAUCAGAAGAGGACGAUGAGCCGGUAAAAGAUGAAGAGCUUGAAGGAUGUGAGCUCAGUGAAGAAGAGUCAGAAGAGGAUCAGGAUGAUCCUGAGUACGACCUGGAUGAGGACUGAGAUCCCAUCAUCUUUUGUGACUCAUGUCUAAAUGUGAAUAGUGUGACUAGAAUGUUAUGAGUAGUCCUGUGAAUAGACUUUGAGUUAUGCCAUGUAUAAAGGUUCGGUUGUGAAUUUCAAUAUGAAAAA